rnacentral:rRNA from 1 species
GAGUUUGAUCGUGGCUCAGAACGAACGCUGGCGGCGUGGAUAAGACAUGCAAGUCGAACGGGAGAAUUGCUAGCUUGCUAAUAAUUCUCUAGUGGCGCACGGGUGAGUAACACGUGAGUAACCUGCCCCCGAGAGCGGGAUAGCCCUGGGAAACUGGGAUUAAUACCGCAUAGUAUCGAAAGAUUAAAGCAGCAAUGCGCUUGGGGAUGGGCUCGCGGCCUAUUAGUUAGUUGGUGAGGUAACGGCUCACCAAGGCGAUGACGGGUAGCCGGUCUGAGAGGAUGUCCGGCCACACUGGAACUGAGACACGGUCCAGACACCUACGGGUGGCAGCAGUCGAGAAUCAUUCACAAUGGGGGAAACCCUGAUGGUGCGACGCCGCGUGGGGGAAUGAAGGUCUUCGGAUUGUAAACCCCUGUCAUGUGGGAGCAAAUUAAAAAGAUAGUACCACAAGAGGAAGAGACGGCUAACUCUGUGCCAGCCGCCGCGGUAA